GCUAGGUCAUUUACCGCACUUCAUCUCAUCACAUAGGCAUGUUAUCUCACAUCAUCAGGAGAAAGAGGGUGAAUAUAGUACAAUAUUUUGAGAGAGAGAGAAGGACCACAUUCACAACAAAAUAACAUUCAAAGGACACAUAUUAGCCUGAAAUGACCUCACUGAGUGCCUGGAGACUUGUGGAGAUCAUCUGUUGGAAUCAGUAAGAAUGGAGGCAAAGACAUUGAAAAACAUUUAGCAUUGAGAAUUCUCCCAAUGACAAAAGACACACAUUACCUUGGACAUACAGAGAGUCAGAAAAAACAAAACAUGGAAGCAACAAAGCUACCAUAAGAGACAGCCGCAUCUUCUGGUGCAGUGCCAGCUGAAUCCCAAGACACCAUGGUGAAGGUCGGAGUCAACGAAUUUGGCCAUAUUGGGCACCUGGUCACCACGGCUGCUUUUAACUCUGGCAAAGUGGACAUUGUCGCCAUCGAUGACCCCUUCAUUGACCUCAACUACAUGGUCUACAUGUUCCAGUAUGAUUCCACCCAAGGCAAAUUCCAUGGCACAGUCAAGGCUGAGAACGGGAAACUUGUCAUCAAUGGAAAGCCCAUCACCAUCUUCCAGAAGUGAGAUCUCGCCAACAUCAAAUGGGGUGAUGCUGGUGCUGAGUAUGUUGUGUGGAGUACAUUGGGGUAUUCAACACCAUGGAGAAGGCUCACUUGAAGGGUGGGGCGAAGAGGGUCAUCCUCUCUGCCCUUCUGUCCCUUGUUAGUGAUGUGCAUGAACAAUGAGAAGUAUGACAACUCCCUCAAGGUUGUCAGCAAUGCCUCCUGCACCACCAACUGCCUGGACCCUCUGGCCAAGGUCAUCCAUGACAACUUCAUUAUCAUGGAGGGACUCAUGACCACAGUCCAUGCCAUCACUGCCACUCAGAAGAUCGUGGACGGCCCCUCUGGGAAGCUGUGGCAUGAUGGCUUACAGGCUGCCCAGAACAUCAUCCCUGCUUCUACUGGCACUGCCAAGGCCAUGGACAAGGUCAUCCCUGAGCUGAAUGGGAAGCUUACUGGCAUGGCCUUCUGUGUCCCCACCCCCAAUGUGUCUGCUGUGGAUCUGACUUGCCACCUGGAGAAAGCUGCCAAAUACGGUGACAUCAAGAAGGUGGUGAAGCGGGCACCAGAGGGCCCCCUCAAGGACAUCCUGGGCUACACCGAGGACCAAGUCGUCUCCUGCGACUUUAACAGUGACACCCACUCUUCCACCUUCUAUGCUGGGGCUGGUAUUGCUCUCAAUGAUCACUUUGUCAAGCUCAUUUCCUAGAAUGACAAUGAAUUUGGCUACAGCAACCAGUUGAUGGACCUUAUGGUCCACAUGGCCUCCAAGAGUAAGAGCCCCCUGGACCACCAGCCCCAGCAAGAGGAAGAAGAGAGAGGCUCUCAGCUGCUGGGGAGUCCUUGCCCCAACUUAUCCCCCAACACACCUGAGAAUCUCCUGACCUCCAGUUUCCAUCCCAGACCCCCUGAAGAAGGGGAGGGGCUUGGGGAGCCCUACCUUAUCAUGUACCAUCAAUAAAGUAUACUGUAUCC